AAAAAGCUCGUAGUUGGAUUUCUGGAGUGACCGGUCACGCACUCUGUGCGUGAACUUGUGUUGUCUCUGGCCAUCCUUGGGGAGAUCCUGUUUGGCAUUAAGUUGUCGGGCAGGGGAUACCCAUCGUUUACUGUGAAAAAAUUAGAGUGUUUAAAGCAGGCUUAUGCCGUUGAAUAUAUUAGCAUGGAAUAAUAAGAUAGGACUUCGGAACUAUUUUGUUGGUUUGCGUUACGAAGUAAUGAUUAAUAGGGACAGUUGGGGGUAUUCGUAUUUCGUUGUCAGAGGUGAAAUUCUUGGAUUUCCGAAAGACGAACUACUGCGAAAGCAUUUACCAAGGAUGUUUUCAUUAAUCAAGAACGAAAGUUAG
rnacentral:rRNA from 1 species